AUCUGUUCCCCCCCAAUUCUUAUGAAACUAUUGAUAUGACAGCAUUUGCUAUUUAAAUUGCCAGUUUCUUUUCUGACCUCCCGUUUUUAAGAGAAGGAAGAGGGGUGAGCAGUCCGGGCUCUGUGCCUUAUGGCAUCACAGGCAGCAGUGGAGGAUGCAGGAACUCACUCUUCCCAGUUGAUAGCCUUGUAUGGACACAGCGGCGAGGAAUCAACCUUUGCUGCUGGUCUGCUCCCAGCACAUGCUGUCCCUUCCUGAAGGACUUGCACUGGUGUGGUGCAAAUGUGGUAUCAGUGAAAUGCCUCUGGUUGCAUCAUCAACAUGAACAGGACAUUGCUGAAGGAAAAGGAACUAAGCACAGAUAUUUAGCUUAGAAGCAUGCACAAAAUGCUUCACUGCCCUGAGAAGACCUCUUCACAAGUGAGGUUCAUAAACAUAAAGUAGAGGCAGUUCAACAAGUUACACUGACAGAAGACCCUGUGCAUGGCCAGUUCCUGCAGAGGACAACAUGGCAGCUUAGUGGAGUGGUGGGGACAGGACUGGACAACCCCGGCCUGCAAGACUCCAGGUCGAUUGCUGUGCUUAAGGCUACUGUGUGCAUCUGAUCUGUUCUAUGCAAAGAAUGUAUAUGGUUUAUAUGGAAUAAGUCUAAAAUCACUGGAGAGAACUGGAAACUGCCAGAUGUAAAUAGAUCAAAAAGGGAAACUUUCAGAGGAUGGAUGGUGUUUAACUAACAAUGCACAAAAGCAAACACUUUGUGACAUUUAAUUUACUGAUAUACAACCAAACUGACAAGCUGAAAGACUCUGAUAGAGGAGGAUCCACAAUUCCACAUUCAUGUCAAAAUUGCUUAGUCAGCCUUAGCAGACACAAGUUUCUGCCAAGUAACUAACCAACAAGUAGACAUAAAGGAACACUUCUAAUUCCACACUGAUGUUUGAAGAUCUUGGUUUCUUAUUUUAUUAUUAGGGAUUGCAGUACUGCCUAAAAGAUCCAGUAAUGGAGCAGGGGCCUACCAUGUCAGGGACCAUAUAAAAGCAGAAUAAAGACAGAACCCAAAAUACUAAGAACUAAAAAUGUAUUUAGUUUAUCUUCACUUCUUGAAGUUUUCAUGUUUUGUUAAAUUCAAACCUUUGUAACCCUAAUUUGUAAUUUUUAUUUCACUGUAUACAAUUCACUUUUUAUUUAGCUGGGAUUCGUGUAUACUGUUCCAAAAGCCUCUAAAAAAAUCUGUCUUGAUUAUGCAAGUCAGACGUUGAACUGUUACUUGACUGCUUUGUCGACUCAACUUUAUGAGCACCGUAUUUUGUGGACAAAUGCAAUUCU